GUAACCUGCCUCAAAGUGGGGGAUAGCCUUCCGAAAGGAAGAUUAAUACCGCAUAAAGCCAAGUUUCACAUGGAAUUUGGACGAAAGGAGUAAUUCGCUUCGAGAUGGACCCGCGGCGCAUUAGUUAGUUGGUGGGGUAAUGGCCUACCAAGACAGCGAUGCGUAGCCGACCUGAGAGGGUGAUCGGCCACAUUGGAACUGGGAUACGGUCCAGACUCCUACGGGAGGCAGCAGUGGGGAAUAUUGCACAAUGGGCGAAAGCCUGAUGCAGCAACGCCGCGUGAGUGAUGAAGGUCUUCGGAUUGUAAAGCUCUGUCUUUUGGGACGAUAAUGACGGUACCAAAGGAGGAAGCCACGGCUAACUACGUGCCAGCAGCCGCGGUAAUACGUAGGUGGCGAGCGUUGUCCGGAUUUACUGGGCGUAAAGGGUGCGUAGGCGGAUGUUUAAGUGAGAUGUGAAAUACCCGGGCUUAACUUGGGUGCUGCAUUUCAAACUGGAUAUCUAGAGUGCAGGAGAGGAGAAUGGAAUUCCUAGUGUAGCGGUGAAAUGCGUAGAGAUUAGGAAGAACACCAGUGGCGAAGGCGAUUCUCUGGACUGUAACUGACGCUGAGGCACGAAAGCGUGGGUAGCAAACAGGAUUAGAUACCCUGGUAGUCCACACCGUAAACGAUGAGUACUAGGUGUAGGAGGUAUCGACCCCUUCUGUGCCGCAGUAAACACAUUAAGUACUCCGCCUGGGAAGUACGAUCGCAAGAUUAAAACUCAA
rnacentral:rRNA from 1 species